GUUUUUGAUUAAUUUUAUAAUAUAGUCAACAUAUAGGGAAACUUGUAUGCACUGAUUAAAGUUCCAAAUUAACCAGUGAACUACUUGAAUUGCUAAAAUCCCCUAAAGCUAGGAUAACUACAACGCUAGGAUGAGAUACGCCUGAACGUGAAUGUUGUGAAAACGGAAAAAAUAUCUUAGAUGGUACAUGGUUAAAUCCUAAAUACUGUAAAAAUGGGCAAUUAGCAGCCAAGCUUUGAAGAGAAGAAGGUUCAACGACUAUUCUCAUAUGAGAAGUAGGAUGCAAGCGAUUGGCUUCCGAAGUGGGUAGAUCCCUCCUUGGGAUAAGAAAUAGUCUGUGCUCAUAUGAAAGUAUGAG
rnacentral:ncRNA from 1 species